rnacentral:rRNA from 1 species
CUACGGGAGGCACCAGUGAGGAAUAUUGCACAAUGGGGGGAACCCUGAUGCAGCAACGCCGCGUGGAGGAUGACGCAUUUCGGUGUGUAAACUCCUUUUAUAUGUCAAGAAAAUGACGGUAGCAUAUGAAUAAGCACCGGCUAACUCCGUGCCAGCAGCCGCGGUAAUACGGAGGGUGCAAGCGUUACUCGGAAUCACUGGGCGUAAAGGGCGCGUAGGCGGGUUGGUAAGUCAGGUGUGAAAUCCUACGGCUUAACUGUAGAACUGCACUUGAAACUUCUAAUCUAGAGUAUGGGAGGGGGAGAUGGAAUUAGUGGUGUAGGGGUAAAAUCCGUAGAUAUCACUAGGAAUACCUAAAGCGAAGGCGAUCUCCUGGAACAUUACUGACGCUAAGGCGUGAAAGCGUGGGGAGCAAACAGGAUUAGAUACCCCCGUAGUC